rnacentral:rRNA from 1 species
AAGCGAAUAAGAGCGUUUGGUGGAUGCCUUGGCUCUCAGAGGCGAUGAAGGACGUGGUAAGCUGCGAUAAGCUGCGGGGAGGUGCAAACAACCUGUGAUCCGCAGAUCUCCGAAUGGGAUAACCCGAUACCUUGAAGAGGUAUCAUCCGCCUUUGGCGGAAGCGAACCCAGGGAACUGAUACAUCUAAGUACCUGGAGGAAAAGAAAUCAAUAGAGAUUCCCCCAGUAGUGGCGAGCGAAAAGGGAACAGCCCAAACUUCGGUAACUACGGUUACCGAAGGGUUGUAGGACUGCAACAUUGGCUUGGAAUCAGAAGCGGAAGCUCCUGGAAAGUUGCGCCAUAGAAGGUGAUAGCCCUGUAUGCAAAUCUGAUUUCAAAUCAUAGCAGUAUCCUGAGUACCACGGGGUCGGAGACGCCCUGUGGGAAGCUGCCGGCACCAUCCGGCAAGGCUAAAUACUCCUGAGAGACCGAUAGCGAACUAGUACCGCGAGGGAAAGGUGAAAAGCACCGCGAGCAGCGGAGUGAAAUAGUCCCUGAAACCAAACGCUUACAAACAGUGGGAGUCCGCCUCUGGCGGAUGACCGCGUGCCUUUUGCAUAAUGAGCCUACGAGUUACUCCUCACUGGCAAGGUUAAUCCGCUUGAGCGGAGCAGCCGAAGCGAAAGCAAGUCCUAACAGGGCGUUCAGUCAGUGGGGGUAGACGCGAAACCUCAGUGAUCUACACAUGGCCAGGAUGAAGUCUCGGUAACACGAGAUGGAGGUCCGAACCAGUUAGCGUUGAAAAGCUAUUGGAUGAGCUGUGUGUAGGGGUGAAAGGCUUAUCAAACUGGGAGAUAGCUCGUACUCCCCGAAAUGCUUUUAGGAGCAGCCUUGAGUAAAAAUGUUGCAGAGGUAGAGCUACCAAUCGGGCUAGGGGGCUUCACCGCCUACCAAACCCCAAUGAACUCCGAAUGCUGCAACAGGAUGCUCAGGAGUGAGGCCCAGGGUGCUAAGGUCAUGGGCCGAGAGGGAAACAACCCAGACCACCGGCUAAGGUCCCCAAAUGUGGACUAAGUUGAUUUAACGAUGUUUAAUUGCUAUGACAGCCAGGAUGUUUGCUUGGAAGCAGCCAUUCAUUUAAAGAGUGCGUAACAGCUCACUGGUCGAGUGAUUAAGCGCGGAAAAUAAACGGGCAUCAAGUUCACUACCGAAGCCGUGGAUCCGCUUCUGGCGGAUGGUAGGGGAGCAUUCAAGUUGCACCGAAGGUGAGCCGCGAGGCUCGCUGGAGCGGCUUGAAAAGAAAAUGUAGGCAUAAGUAACGAUAAAGCGGGUGAAAAACCCGCUCGCCAAUAGACUCAGGGUUCCUGAUCAACGUUAAUCGGAUCAGGGUUAGUCGGGUCCUAAGGUGUAUCCGAGAGGAAAAACCGAUGGGAAACAGGUCAACAUUCCUGUACUGGCAUUAAUUGCGAUGGGGUGACGAAGAACGUGAAAGGUCUGCGCACGGACGGAAGUGUGCGUUGAAAGAUUUAGGCUUACGGCUCGCAGGCAAAUCCACGAGCUGUGCUGAGAUCUGACAGUACCACAAGCCUUCGGGUAAGUGGAUAAUGACCCUAAACUUGCUUCCGAGAAAAACCUCUAAGCUUCAGAUUAAUGCCACCCGUACCCAAACCGACACAGGUAGUCAAGGAGAGAAUCCUAAGGCGCUCGAGUGAUCCAUGGCUAAGGAACUCGGCAAAUUAACCCUGUAACUUCGGGAGAAAGGGUGCCCCGCCUCCGGCGGGGCCGCAGUGAAAAGACCCAGGCGACUGUUUAACAAAAACACAGGGCUCUGCUAAAUCGAAAGAUGAUGUAUAGGGCCUGAUACCUGCCCGGUGCCGGAAGGUUAAAGAAGCGUGUUAUCCGCCUCUGGUGGAGAAGCUCGCGACUGAAGCCCCGGUAAACGGCGGCCGUAACUAUAACGGUCCUAAGGUAGCGAAAUUCCUUGUCGGGUAAGUUCCGACCUGCACGAAUGGUGUAACGAUCUGGGUACUGUCUCAGCCAUGAGCUCGGUGAAAUUGUAGCACCGGUGAAGAUGCCGGUUUCCUGCAUCGGGACGGAAAGACCCCGUGAACCUUCACUACAGUUUAGCAUUGACUUUGGGUAAAGGAUGUGUAGGAUAGGUGGGACGCUUUGAAGCGGUGGCGCCAGCUACCGUGGAGCGGCCGUUGAAAUACCACCCUUCCUUUAUCUAGAGCCUAACUCCCCGUAUCCGCGGGGAAGACAGUGCUUGACGGGUAGUUUGACUGGGGUGGUCGCCUCCUAAAAAGUAACGGAGGCUCCUAAAGGUACCCUCAGCACGCUUGGUAACCGUGCCUAGAGUGUAAUAGCAUAAGGGUGCUUGACUGCAAGACCUACAAGUCGAGCAGGUACGAAAGUAGAGUAUAGUGAUCCGGUGGUUCUGCAUGGAAGGGCCAUCGCUCAAAGGAUAAAAGGUACUCCGGGGAUAACAGGCUGAUCUCCCCCAAGAGCUCAUAUCGACGGGGAGGUUUGGCACCUCGAUGUCGGCUCAUCACAUCCUGGGGCUGGAGCAGGUCCCAAGGGUUGGGCUGUUCGCCCAUUAAAGUGGUACGUGAGCUGGGUUCAGAACGUCGCAAGACAGUUCGGUCCCUAUCUGAUGCAGGCGCUAGAAGUUUGAGAGGAGCUGACUUUAGUACGAGAGGACCGAGUUGGACGAACCUCUGGUAUACCUGUUGUGCCGCCAGGUGCAGCGCAGGGUAGCUAUGUUCGGAAGGGAUAAGCGCUGAAAGCAUCUAAGCGCGAAGCCCCCCUCAAGAUGAGACUUCUUUUAAGGGCCGUCAAAGAUGAUGACGUAGAUAGGCUACAGGUGUAAAGACAGCAAUGUCAAAGCCAAGUAGUACUAAUUGCCCGUAAGCUUUC